AACCUGCAUAUUUGUUUCAUUUUGUUGCUACCAUAGUUUGAGACUCCGCCGUUUUCACAAGCUCCACAUUCUCGUGGCUAACGAGUGCAUCUUUGCUUCCUUUAGAGAGCCUCCAUUUAUACCAAUUCACUUCAUGGAUGUUUGACAUGUGAAAAAUAAAAAACCAAUGGCUGAGAUUAAAAGGCUUCGAAAAAAAUACUUGUUUAUUGGAAAAUAAACACACGCCUCUGCUCUUCCUCCUAUGAUACAACACACUCCUUCAUCUCCUAAAAACGCCGCCCCACCAUCACCCUUUCGUCAGCGCCGGCGUUGCCACCAGGGUACCGUCGUCCCACCCUACCGCUCCACAUAAGCAAAAACAUCUUCCUUCCUCUACACCUUCUCUCAUUGUUCCUGAGACUCCGUUCUUUCCGUUGUUCAAUUCUAAAAUUGCAAUCGUUAAAUGCACUUUCGCUCCUACAAAUGCAUCAGAAUUAGUCAAAUGAUAUGUUUGGAAUCAGAUGAUAAACCUUAAAAUUCUGAAUGGGAAAUUGGAAUGAGAAUGAGGAUGCAGUAAGGGGGUUAUUGUCUUCACACAGACCAAAUACUGGAAAUUCGACACGAACUUAUGACUCGAUUGAUGCAAAGGGUCGGCGACGGACGACGGCUGGAUGGUGGUUGAUGACGAUAUGAGAGAAAGGGAGAAGAGCAGCGGUUGUGUGUAGAUGAAGAGGGAGGAGCGUGAAUACAAUGGAACAAUGUUUUACUUGUUUUUUGUAUUAUUUUCAAUUUCAGCCAGUAGAUAUUUUUGUGCCACAUGUUUUGUAGACAUAAUCUUAAAUGAACUAAAUAAAGUAUAGCUAAAUGGAGCAAA